rnacentral:rRNA from 1 species
AUUGAACGCUGGCGGCAGGCUUAACACAUGCAAGUCGAGCGGAGUGAUGGUGCUUGCACUAUCACUUAGCGGCGGACGGGUGAGUAAUGCUUAGGAAUCUGCCUAUUAGUGGGGGACAACAUCUCGAAAGGGAUGCUAAUACCGCAUACGUCCUACGGGAGAAAGCAGGGGAUCACUUGUGACCUUGCGCUAAUAGAUGAGCCUAAGUCGGAUUAGCUAGUUGGUGGGGUAAAGGCCUACCAAGGCGACGAUCUGUAGCGGGUCUGAGAGGAUGAUCCGCCAAACUGGGGCGGAGACACGGCCCGGACUGCUACGGGAGGCAGCAGUGGGGAAUAUUGGACAAUGGGGGGAACCCUGAUCCAGCCAUGCCGGGUGUGUGAAGAAGGCCUUAUGGUUGUAAAGCACUUUAAGCGAGGAGGAGGCUCUUUUGGUUAAUACCCAAGAUGAGUGGACGUUACUCGCAGAAUAAGCACCGGCUAACUCUGUGCCAGCCGCCGCCGUAA